CCUGACCUCAGGUGAAUAACCUGCCUUGGCCUCCCAAAGUGCUAGAAUUACAGGCAUGAACCACUGUGCUUGGCCUCAUGUUCUUUAUGUGAUUUGAGUUAGGAGGGAAAUCUAAAUAGUUUAAUCACAUGAAACAUGGUAACACCUGAUAUUCUGACUUACCAGGUCAGCUUUCUUCAAGUAGAUCACCUUUUAAAAGAAGGCCUAGGCUAAGCCAAAGGAAUUAAUCUCUGACAGUAGAAUACCCAGGCAUGUUUACUAGCAUUGAAGAAACUUUUCUCUCCUUCUGUAUACCAGCUUGUCUACAGUAGACAAGUUUAUUUCCUCCAAAAGGACAAAAGUUGAUAAAUGGCCUGCAAGUUGGAUCUAUAUUUUAUCAUUGAAUAUCUUUGUCAAAAUAUAUCAUGCAUUUUAUAUUUUACUAUGAGCCUUUCAGAUACUAAUGACUUCCAUUUUCAGAGUCUUUCAACUCAAGUGAUCAUCAUGGGCAUCCCUCAUAUUUUUCCUCUUAUUUAUUCUCAGACUUUCUUAUGAAGUGAGAUAAUAAGCAUAAAGACAAUUUCUCACUGUACAGUACAGGAAGCCUUUCACAGCUGACGACUCAAAUGUCUGGGUGAUUUCAGAGUCUUCUAAAAUGCUCCAGAAGAAGAGAAGUUGUUUGGAUUGGUCAUGAUGGAUGGCCUGGUGACAGCUGUCAGUCAGACGAGACCUGAUGGGCACCAGGACUGAAGGCAGCAGCACAGGAGGUAGGAGAGGAAGGAAUCCUGAGCAAAUAGCCAUGCUGUUUACUUGCCAAUGACAUCCCCACUUUGCAAAGACAUGAUAUGGUUAUUGAUCUCUCACUGAACCUGUAAGAAUCAAACACAACAACUCAGUUUUAUUCAUUUCAUAAAUGGUUUCCAAGUGCAGUCAGACAUUUAAUUUGUGGAACACUGAGCGAAGAGGUGAUUUCUGCUGGUUUAGGUAAGAGAGAAACGGUCUAGUGUAAUACUCAAGAAUGAGCUAGAUCUCCUGGAUUUAAGGCUUAUUCUACAGCUUAUUAGCUCUGCUAUGUUGGGCCAGUGACUUGACAUCUCCAUGCUUCAGUCUCUUCAUCUGUAAAAUGGAAAUACAAAGCGGGUGGGAGGUGUUGUGAGGAUUGAGUAGAUUAAUGCAUGUAAAGUGCUUGCAACGUUGCCUGACAUGUCACUGUCUGUUAGCUGUUAGCAGUAGUUGGGCUUUUUAUAGAGGGCUGGUGACUUGUGCUUGUCUGAAUGCAGGAAACCAGGCCUGUGUAGCCUUCGGUCUGUUCUAACACUGAAGUUUUGUAGUUGAGUGCUGACUGUGGUGCAUAAACUGAGCAUUUGGAUACCUACAUAUCACACCACAAGGUUUUGGAGGGGCUCACUUUGCUUUAAUCCCUGUUUCAUCCAGUUUCUCUUUUUCUCCACAUGCCUUCACAGAGGCAAGGGGAGCAUGCUGAGUCUAGAAUUUCUAAUCAAAGCUAACCACAUCCCUGUCAUUGUUGGAUAAUAUUACAAAUUAGACACGUUGUUCCUGUUUUGACUCAGAAUCACAGCAGGAAGCAGCUAAAUAAAACUGAAACAACCCACAAGUGCCUUUCACAUAAGUGAUUAGGGUAAUCGCAGUUCUGUACUUGCCAAAGGGAUUCAUUCCCUCUUCAUUUUUUCCAUGGAAAGCUUGCUUUGGGCCACAAGGCCUUCUCUUUGAAUGACUGCGCCAUUAUUGGCCAAGUAGUGCUGAUAAAUGGUACCUGUGGGUUGUUGUGGGAUUUAAGGAGAUGAUGCUUGGGAGCGCCCAGCACAGUGGCUGGCACACAGUAGGUGCAUCCUUUCUUACUUCUUCUUCCCCUGAUUAACGAGAACACUCUACACCAAGACACAUACCUCUUCUGAACGGUAUAAACCGUUGCUACUGAAAGUGUCUAGACCAGCAGCAGCAGGAUCACCCGGGAGCUUAUUAGAACUGCACAACCUUGGGUCCUCUGGGGCCUAUUGCAUUAGCAUCUGCCUGUAACAAGGCCUUCAGUGAUUUGUUUGCACACUGAAGUGUGAGAAGCACUGGUGUGAACUCACCAGGUAGGGAUGGAACCAGAGAUGGAGGUCUUAUUAACUUCAUGCUGGUAACUCCCUGAGCUAAUGGGCCCAUGAGGAAUAAAUUUGGUCUAAAGCCUGGUCAUUUGGAAAUGAACUAAAUAUACUUUACUCAGUCAGCUUGUGUAACAGAGCUCUCCAGUGGCAUGUGGGUCUUUUUCAGCAGUGACAAUAGUUUAUUUUUUAAAUAUACUCCACAAAUGUUGUUCUGGUGUGGAUCUUAAUGUGGAGAAAAUCAGACACCUUUUCAGUAAGCAUUUCUUUUGUUUCUGUGAUCAUGUUCAUGUUAGUUUAUUGUAUUUGUAUUAGUUUAUCUGUGGGACUAUCCCUUAAUAUUUCCCAAAACAAGAAGACAUUUGCGAAUGUUUUCAAGAUGCAUUGUACAAGAUACUGUUUUGAACUGGAUCAAUGAAGGAGAUGUUUGGUGGCCUUGGAAAGCCCUGGAGAGUAAUAGUGUGGUUCUAAGAAGAGUUGGCCUGAAUCAGUUCAUUCUUGGGUUGUUUGCUAAGAUUGUCUGCUGAAGGUGGGUACGUGGAAAACAAGAUGGUAAGCCAAGGAGGAUGAAGGGAGGCAUGCUGCUGGACCACUUCCAGCUCCCAAAUGACUGGAUCUUGGCCAUCUUGCUUUUCCUGCUAACUUAGAACUGAACUGCUUAUUCUAGAAAAUGAGAGGCACUGGGGCCAUAUAGGAAAGGGAUAGCAUUGGACCCAAGUCCUAGACUUUCAGUAGUUUGUUUGCAGGACCAGGGUCCCACCCCUUUUCCAAUUGAAAUGUAGGCAAGGUGGUGGCAAGCCCAUGGCCUAGGCUGUGGGAACUCAUAGAACAACUAUAGUGAUGAUCGCUGCCUUGGAUUGCAGCCUACUCUGAAUGUGUGCACCUGUGCUAACUACUUUCAGGUGUGUUGUCUUGUUUCAUAGACUCAUUACAUUUUUAUGAUGAAGUGAAACCCGUGAAUUGGCUCCUCCAGACUUCUCAUUUUAAUGACAAAAAAGUGGGUCUCCAGAGAGGAGCUGGGAUUUUCCAAGAUCUCAUAGUUUGUUCCUCACUUUUUGUCCGUAGGAGAAUCAUAGAAGAACCAGAUAAUCUUGUCUCUUAUAGAAGGAAUACCCUUACCCUUCCACAUUCCCGUGGUGGUGGUGUGUUUGCUUUUUUAUCAGUCUUAACCCAUGGGAGGCUGCACAACUUACAUAAGAGGCUACCUGUUCUGUUUGCCAAACGGCAGCCCAGACCCAUCACUGAGCAUGUCCUUGGCAAGAGGCACAACCUCAGGCUGACACUGUUUCCAUGUCCGUGAGAAAUGAUGUGUAUAAACGAUGGCCAGUAAGAUGCUCAUCUGUUGGGAAGACAACAGAGGGCAGGGCUGAGAGCAUGGCUUCCCUGCUGAUUGCCUGUGUUCAGAUCCCAGCUCAGCCGUGUGUAAGCUCUUGGUUCUUGGGGUAACUACUUGUUUACCUCUCUGAAAAAUGGGAGUAGAAAUAAUGAAUACUUUUAAUAGGAUUAUUUUGAGGAUAAAUGUAUUUAUUUAUGUAGAGAACUUGGCACGGCACCUGGCACAGAGUGAGCACUUAAUGAAUUUUGACUGUAAAUAGUUAUUACUGUUCCACUAGAUUCAAAUUUCUUAUCUUUGCCUUUAGCUGGAUGAGUGAGGAGAUUUGUACCAACGUCAUGUAUUCUCCUCUUCCCUGCAAAUUCCUCCACCUGAGUCCUAUUGAGGUGCUCCCCAUUAUAAGGAGUCCUGUGAAUCAAAGUGGUAUGUUUACUGUAAAGAAUGUGGAGGAUGCUGUUCACUGCAUUGUAUUGUUAUCUUCAUGAGGAAGCCAGGAGACAUUUAUUUUGGCUCUCUGUUUUAGAAAGGUGUUCUCCUCAUGACGACCUGUUUGCCUCUGAUCUUAAGGACACUUUGAAGCAUACCGAGCAGGGGUCUGCAAACUUCUUUGAUAACAGGCAAGAUAGUAAAUAUUUUCAGCUUUGCAGGGCAGAGUCUCUGUCACAGCUACUCAACUCUUCUGUGGUAGCAGCCACAGACAGUGUGUAAGUGAUUGGACGUGGCUGUGUUCCAGUACAACUUCAUUUACAAAAACAGGGCUCAGGCCAACCCCUGAUAGAGAUAUUCAUGGUUUUUGUGUUUCUCUCUCAAAUGCUAACUACCAGAAAAGCUUAGAGUCAAAUCUGAAUCAUGCUUCUAGCAAAUAUGUACCUACACAUUUAGCAUACUAAUAUCACUCUUGCUUACCAGUUUUUACCCUGUUUUCUCACAUUUAUAUUCCAUUUGUCAUAAUUAUAGCUCCUGUCUUGACUGUAUCUUCUUUCACUGUGUUUUUUGUUGUUGUCGUUGUUGUUGUUUUUGGGAAUGGGAUAGGACUGUAAGUAAAUAAAUCAAUUAUAUCUUGCUAGCUUAGAAACCAGGACUUGAGUAACCACUUCUGACUCAAAGUUCAAUCUAUGUGGUUAAAUAGGGAAGCAGACCAUAAGAUGUAUGCCCAGUGGUGCACGUUGCUGACUCGCAAGCUAUGUGCAGGCUUUAGCAUUUAGUGUGGUGAUGUGUGCCCUCUAACCUGAGAUGUUGAGAGAGGGGCAGAGAAGAAGACUUCUUGUAGCCACAAAGUUUCAUUCCUUCCUCUCUCAUUGUUGUAGCAUUUCUUUUAAGUGAAAACAGCCUUUUUGGUUUGCUAGCCUAUCUCUGGCAGGAAGACAAAUUAUUUUUUUACAGUAUCAGACACGCGGUUUCCUGUCUAUGUUUAACUUGCUAGCAGAACAUCUCAGCCAGCUGGUUCCCUCUGGACCCAUUGUGUCCUUAAUGUCGUUGCUUUACACCAUCCAGCAAACCCACUCUGUGUACUGAUCGCAUGCAUUGAGCAUUUUGUUGACUUCCGUUGUUUUCCGAGUAAGGGAAGUCUUAGAAAUGCUGCCCUCUUUCUCCCAAAUCUCAUUUUAUGUUUGUUCAGCUCCAACACCAGGGAGCUGGCUUCUUGGGGAAAUGAUUAGUUCUUGCAUGUAAGAAAUGAAAAGAGUAAAUGGUGUUUUGGUAGCUCUGGGGGAUUUUAGGUAUGCUGCCUUGGAACUGUGCACUCACGCCUCAAAAUAGCUGGCUUUCCAGCUGUGCAUUUUUGUUUCAAAAGAAACAAACCAGAUUUACUUUCUGGUCUAAAUGCAGAAGAAAAAAUAAGUGUGGAAAUAUGGUUGAGAAAAGUUGUUAGAAGAGGAAGAAAAUUAUGGAUUAAAGUUGCUAGUCUCAUUCCUGAGAAGAGAAAUCAGUUAUUUGAGGUGAUGACUCAGAGCUGAAGCAGCUUUUUGUUGUGAACCAGCCUUGGUUAGAAAGCACACUUGGAAUUCAUCAAUAUGGCCCUAUGUCUGGCCAAGGAAAUAAUAAAGAUUUUGCAUGAUAGAGGACACUGUGACUCAGUUGAAGGAAGCUUAGAAUGUAUUUGAACUGAAUUAAGGCAAAAGCAACUCGCUUUUCAAGAUUUUUUUUUUUCCUAAGUAGCAAAGUAAACAAAGCUGCACUGAGGCCAGAUGUGCUUUCUGGUUGUGAAUAUUUGUACUCUAGAACCUCAUUCUGGUAUGAAUCAGCAGAGUGGAAUCUAGUAUGGACACAGGCUGUCUCAAAUUCCAUCCACUGGAUAUGAGUGGCCAAGAAAGCAGUCGGACCCAUACUGCUGGUGCUGUAGCAAGGUUCGGGUGGUUCCUCUGCAGCCUCAGGUCUCUCCCACUGCGGCCUCCAUGUGUUCCAUAAACUCCACACCCAUGAGUAAUGGCAAGAAGGGUCCACUGAGACCUUUUGCUGCUUUGCGAGUGUCUCAGUGUCCCACCAGGGGAAAAAAAAGGCUCAGGGAGGUGGCUAACCACUGUGAAAUUGACUUUUAUUUCCACCCACGUAUACUCCAGAGGCUGUAUUCACCACCAUUUGGACAUCUGGAUGACUUGCCUUUGGAAAGUCCUUUUGUAUUCUAAAUCGCUCCUGCAUGUUACCUGUUGUGGAAAAUAUCAAUUUUGCCAUUACAAAUUAUGCUUUUUUUUAAAAACAUGUUAACUUUUAGAGAAAUAAUUUAUAUUUGCUUAUCUACUUUUAAAAAUAUACAUAUAUAUGCCUUUUGUUGCCUAAUUAGAGGAUAUAGUUGGUUCCAAUGUCAAGAACAAUUUCUCUGAAAUGUAGUCAUUAAAAUUAUUCCCAUGUCUUUCAUUUUCCAGGCCCCAUCCUAUUCGAAAUACCUGUUUCUUCCACCAGGCUGAUGUAGUUAUGCUUAGGCUUGGCUGCACAUUGGAAACACCUGAGUAGCUUUAAAAACUACUCAUUAACUGGGUCUUACUCCUGCAGUUUCUGACUUAAUUGGUCUGGGGCCUGGUAUCAGGAAUUAUUUUUUAAUUCUUCAAGAUAUUUUAAUAUGCAGCCCACAUUGGGAACCACUGGACUCAAGACAGUUUGUUCUGCCAAAUCUUUUUAUAUUUUUCGUCACGUUCCCCCUGUAGCCUGGAAAGGGACGGUAACAAUUAAAGAAUGGCAGCUACCACAGGAAGGAGCCAAAAUUAUGCCUUCGAAGGUUAGAGGAGGAGAAAAACCAACACCUGUUUUACCCCAUCCUUGGAGGAAUAGCAAGACACUUUAAGAGGGGAUAUUAUUUUGUUUUCUACAACAAUUUACAAGCAAUUGCUUUGGAACAAGGUCAACGGCCUCAUUGGGAAUAGGCAUCUUAGCUUUUAAAACUGAUUAAAUUAUACGUUAAAGGAAAGCACAUUUUAAACCUUAAUGUGUCCAAAAGGUUGGAUGGCAAGGUUUGGGUGCUACUGCCUUGGCAGAGACAAGGCAGGGACCAGGGAGGCUGUGUGCAUGAUUUUAGGAGGUGAGAAACUCAGGUGGGAAGGAAUUGCAGAAGCCUGUGGUUCACCUGGAAAGCCAGGGAGAGAGAGAGGAUGUAUUCUGGUGACCUAACAGGUAUUGUGAAUAAUGAAUAUGCUUUUCCAAAGCGAUCUGGUCUCCCUGUUGGAGAGCAUCCUGAAAUAACUUAAGAAAUGUACCUUGCUUUCAGGUUUCCUGAGAACAUGAGGGCCCCUAGACAGAGUACAAGGUGUAAUUCAGACAGCCAGCCAGAAAAAGAAUUAAAGAAUCAGGGCAGGUGUGGGGAUCCUAACAAAACCUAAGCUUUUAGUAGUCAGAAAACUGCAAUAACACAGAAAAGAAAAUGAAAAAAAAUCUUGUUCCAAAGAACAUAUAUCAGGUGUGAAACUCUCUUUGUGGGAGGACAGAUGUGUCAUCAUUUCCUGGACAAAGCCUGGUACCUUGUAGGCACCCUCCUAAUGUUGGUUGCCCUCCUUUUAAAGUCAGAGCAAGAGAAGUAGCAGGAAUCUAUAUCCUAAGGAGGAACAUAAAGGGUGAAAAGCACAGUGGAAGGGAUGCCUAAAAGAGCAAAGGCUGAAUCAGGGUUUUAAUGGCCUGAAAUGACCAAUUUUCUAAAACUUGACAGGUAGAUGUAAAAUCAGACAUAUAGGUUCAAACAAUCGAUUGCAAAGGAGCACUUGUCAAAACACUGGCUGGGAAUCUGCUCAUGUGAUGAAGACCCCAGGGUUUAGAGGUGAGUUAAGGUCAUUUUGAAAUCAGGAUGAUCUGGCUGAAAGAAUCAAAACAAAACAGAAAGAACAAACCAUCAGGAGCCUUAAACUCCACUUGGUGGAAGAGGAGGUGAGAGUCCUGCUGUAAUCUUUGCUACACAAGUUAUAUUCCAAGUAUUAUAUCUGUGUCUAUCAAAACACAUGAUGAAGAAUCUUAAAUAGCAAGCGUGGUUUCAGAGAACAGAUCACUUUACCCUUAGAAAAAAGGUCCUGGCAUUUAUUGGGCGCUAUAUGCUGGGCAGGCUGAUUUUAGGGUCUGAUAAAUCUGUCAGACUUUAGAGUCUCAUCAAUGUAUCUCUUGAAAAGUAACCGAGGAAAACAUGGCUGUUCAACCUGAAAAUGAAAUGAUCUAGGGGUUGUGAGUUUCAUAUCCAGCAGGAGUUUAAUAGUUCUCAUCCCAUAGAAAACGGAUUCAUUUUGUUACUUUUUGCUUUAGAGAACAGCAGAAGGACCAAUAAUAGAAGCACACAGAGGCUACAUUUGACUUAAUGUAAAGAAUAAUUUUAAACAUAUCCCAAUAUUUAGACUUUAUCCCAAUAUAUCUGCAGUUAGAAAUAUUGUGAUUUGAUUAUGGAAUGAUAACAAAGGAAUGAUGUCCUUCUACCAUAACAUUUUCAGGCAGAGGUUUCACCUCUACCUCUCAUGGGUAUUCUAGAAAGAGAUUAUCAUACUGGAUUAGAAUACAUGCAAGGCUUUUCCAUCUGGGAGAGAGAUAAGAAGGAAAUAAUACAAAGGAGACUGUGCCAUGGGAUAGGAGAGGUGGCGAAUAGCUUUGUUCUGAAAUAUGUGCAGUUGGAAUAAAACAACCACAUUGAUUGGAGAGAAGACUUCUUUCAUCAUUUGAGGAAAAAAUACUCUCAAAAUAUAUCCAGAAUGUCAAACAGUGCUAUCAAUAGCUAGAAGUUAAAUUAAAUCCUUCAUUGCUAGUGAGCUUACUGUCCUUUUGUUGUUUAAUUGAAAUGACUUUUUAUUGUUUGCCUAAAUUGGUGUGCUUUUUACUAGGAUGAUGGAUGGGGAAGCAUAUCUCAUUCUACACUCCUCCACCAGUUAAUUGACUAGAAAAUUAUCAUGGGCCAUUUUCUCAUUGGCUAGUGCUGAAUACAGCUGUACCAGAGCUUUGCAAACAAUUCCACUAAGAAAUUUUUUGUAGGAGGAAAGCAUCUCUAUGGCAGAGUACCAAAGAACUUAACUUUAUUUUUGCUAAACUGUUUAGCAAGAAUAAAAUUUACCUCUGAAACUUGAAUGUGUAAAUGAAUCACUGAGAGAACUUUUAAAUGUAGAUUCUGAUUCAGUUAGUUGAGGACAGCGCUAAGACUCUGCAUUUCCAGUAAGUUCCCAGGGGAUGCUGAUGACUGCUGGUCUGCGGGCACACUUAGAAUAACGAGGUGACAAGUUAUUCUUUAUGUAACAUGCCAACAAAAUUUUUAAAGGUACAGAAAAUGAUGGCAAGAUCUUUGAACUCUGCAAUAUGAAGCAUAUAUGUGAGUGCUUAGCUUUCACUCUCUUUCUGUGUGUGUGUGUGUGUAUACAGAUACUAAGACACAGAUACAUUCACAUAUAUACAUCUAAAUAUAUAUACAGUACAGUCCAUAUUCAGAUUUCUUCAAGGUUAAUGGGUCUAUUGUUUAAAUUCGGAAUCCAGUCAAGGACAACACAUUAAAAUUGAUUGUUUUGCCUCUACAGUGUGUUUUUUUGGUUUUCAUGACAUUGACUUUGAUUUGAAUAGGUCAGACCAUUUCAUGUACUUUAUAAAGGCACUUUGUAGAUUUGUCUGAUGAUUUGAUUAAUUCAGAUUAAACAUUUUUUAAAGA
rnacentral:lncRNA from 1 species